rnacentral:lncRNA from 1 species
GAAAUUACUAAAUGCAAAGGAAAGAAUCCUAUCAUGGAACAUCAAAAUGACAGAAGCUGUUACCAAAAUAUCUGUACGAUGGUUUUAGUUGUGUUAAAUCAGUAUGCUAAACUGCGUUAGACAGGGCUGAACAAAUAGGAAUCGAAGACGUCUCUUCAAGGAGCGGGAAAGGCACACCUAAGGCAAUUAUCACAGAAACAUUGAGAGAACUGCUGUUUCAGUGCGUGGAGCUCCUUGAACAUGGAAGAUGGAAUCAUUAACUAGACCGGCAUUGUCGUGAAAGAUGCCACGCUGUCUUAAAGAAGAAUUUUAUAUUGCUGUCAGGAGAAAAUCACUUGCAGUUCUUUGAGAUGUCAAAAUCCUGUCAUUUCUGCAGAUGUGGCCCAUUGUGACUCAGGAUAUGAGAGGUGCAGAAUACAAUGUCACUUGGGAUGGAAGUCAGCAGAUAAGAAACUCAAUCUCAUUACCUCAGCCGGAGCUCGUCUGGUGUGGACACAGCCUGGGCUUUAAUGUCAGACAAAUCCAGAUUCAAACAUUGACCUUGGAAAAAAUAAUUAACCUCUCUGAGUUUGCUUUAAAACUGGAUAUUACAUUUCUGUCACAUGCCCACGUCUUUUCAAAGGAACUGUCCCACUCACAGUACGUGGCUCAGGAAGGCAGCUCUUAAGACAUUCUCUGCAUGGAGACAGUCACUCAUAUAUGGUUGGUAAUGUGCUUCGAGAGGGACAAACCGAAGUUCUGCCAACAUUCCAGAGAGAAAUUCUGGGAAACCUUCUACCGAAGGAAGGUGAUGGUAGUUGGCCAAUUCGUGGAUUCAUUUUUUAUUCAAAUAAAAGUCACAGAGUGCCUCUUCUAUGUUCCA